CUCUGUUUUAUUUGAAUGACUUUAUAUGCAGUAAUUAUUUUGAAAUAAAAAAAAAAAAGAAGAAGAAAUAAAACUCAGCAAAACCAAUCUACAUGUUUUGGACAAAAAAAGAAAUAGAGGUUGUAUUCUCAGUGUCCGACUCGGAAUUAUGUUGCUGCCUCUCUGUGCUUUUGGCCUCUGUGUGGCCGUGUUUUGCCAGCAUGAGAUACUGUCCCCUCUGGAGGAUUUUAGGGGAGGAAGAGCCACAUCUCCAAAGAUCUGGAGGAAUCUCUCUGAUCCCUCCAAACCUCUGGGGUAUGCUGGGUGUUGAGUGGAGCAGGACUAAUGGGAUGUGACCCAGUAUUUCCUGAGUUUUCCCUGAUCAUGAGCUGUCUGCUGGGCCCAUUCUCUUGCACUCUUGCCCCCGAGACAGGUGAGGCAGGCUGGGCAGGGGGCGCAGGUCAGGAGAGAGGCUACCCAGCCCUCCUGGUCUCCAAACUGGUUGAUCACUGGCCUUUCUCCUUGGCAGAGACCCUGCUGCCGAGGCCCAGGGCAGGCACUUGGUCUGUCA
rnacentral:lncRNA from 1 species